GUGUAGCACGGUUCCUGAUACAUUGUUUUAGCUGAAUUUUGGGACAUGGCCACUGCUUCACCAAGGUCUGAUACUAGUAAUAACCACAGUGGAAGAUUACAGUUACAAAUAACUGUUUCUAGUGCCAAACUAAAAAGAAAAAAGAACUGGUUUGGAACAGCGAUAUAUGCAGAAGUGGUUGUAGAUGGAGAAAUUAAGAAAACAGCAAAAUCCGGGAGUGCUUCUAAUCCAAAUGGGAUGAACAGCUAACUGUAAAUGUGACCCCACAGACUAAACUGGAAUUUCGAGUUUGGAGUCAUCACACUUUAAAAGCAGAUGCUUUAUUAGGAAAAGCAGUGAUAGAUUUGAAACAAGCUCUGUUAAUACACAAUAGAAAAUUGGAAAGAGUGAAAGAGCAAUUAAAACUUUCCUUGGAAAACAAGAAUGGCAUAGUGCAAACUGGUGAAUUGACAGUUGUGCUUCAUGGAUUGGUGAGUGAGCAAGAAAAUCUAACAAACUGCAGCUCAUCUCCAGCGGUAGAAAUACAGCAAAAUGGUGAUGCCUUACAUGAAAAUGGAGAGCCUUCAGCAAGGACAACUACCAGGUUGGCUGCUGAGGGUACUAAUGGAAUAGAUAACCGCCCUGCAAACACACUGGUCCAAAACUCAUCCAGUCCUUGUGUAGUUUCAAUGGAGACAACACAUCUUCAUCUUCAUCUCAGGUUGCUGCCAGACCCCAAAAUACACCAGCUCCCAAACCACUCACAUCUGAGCCUGCCAAUGACACUGUUAAUGGAGAAUCAUCCUCAUUUGCACCAACCGAUAAUGCUUCUGCCACCGUGACUUCAAUAGUGUCUGAAGAAAACGCCUGGUCUUUAAAUUGCACUAGUACUACAAUCGAAGAUCCUCCAGUUCAAGGAGCAGCGACUUCCUCCGAAAACGAUGAAUGUAUUCCUUCCAGCAGUGCAGAAUUUGGAGCUGAAGUUAGAAGUGUAUUAGACCGUGACACCUCUAAUUCUGGAAAUAGUUCUGUUUUUGAAGCAGCCAAAUUAAGACAGCCAGAUGGGUGUGCGGAACUGCACGGCAGCAAUCUGGAAAUGCCAACGCUGACUUUGCCCUCAGGGUGGGAACAGAGAAAAGAUCCUCAUGGUGGAACCUACUACGUGGAUCAUAACACUAGAACUACCACUUGGGAAAGAAGAGUUGAUGAUCGUGGAAGGGUUUAUUAUGUGGUUCGUAACACCAGAACAACAUGGCAGCGGCCUACCAUGGAAUCUGUCCAGAAUUUUGAACAGUGGCAAUCUCAGCGGAACCAAUUGCAGGGCACUAUGCAAUAGUUCACCAGCGAUACCUCUAUUCAGCUUCAAUGUUAGUGUAGAAAAUGACCCAUACCGACAUUUGCCACCAGGCUGGGAAAAAAGAGUGGAUUCAACAGACAGGGUUUACUUUGUGAAUCAUAACACAAAAACAACCCAGUGGGAAGAUCCAAGAACUCAUGGUUUACGGAAUGAAGAACGCCUGCCAGAGGGGUGGGAAAUUAGUUACACUCGUGAAGGUGUUAGGUACUUUGUCGAUCAUAACACAAGAAUAACAACAUUCAAAGAUCUUCACAAGGGGAAGUCAUCCGUAAUUAAAGGUGGUCCACAAAUUGCUUAUGAGCGCAGCUUUAGGUGGAAACUUGCUCACUUCCGUUAUUUAUGCCAGUCUAAUGCACUACCCAGUCAUGUAAAGAUAAAUGUGUCCCGACAGACAUUGUUUGAAGAUUCCUUCCAACAGAUUAUGGCAUUAUAAAACCCUAUGACUUGAGGAGGUGAUUAUAUGUAAUAUUUAGAGGAGAAGAAGGACUUGAUUAUGGUGGUAUAGCAAGAGAAUGGUUUUUCUUGCUUUCACAUGAAGUUUUGAACCCAAUGUAUUGCUUAUUUGAGUAUGCAGGCAAGAACAACUAUUGUUCGCAAAUAAAUCCAGCAUCAACCAUUAAUCCAGACCAUCUUUCAUACUUCUGUUUCAUUGGUCGCUUUAUUGCUAUGGCACUAUUUCAUGGAAAGUUUAUUGAUACUGGUUUCUCUUUAUCAUUCUAUAAAUGAAUGCUAAGUAAAAAACUUACUAUUAAGGAUUUGGAAUCUAUUGACACUGAAUUUUAAUACUCCCUUAUCUGGAUAAGAGACAACAACUUUGAAGAGUGUGGCUUAGAAAUGUACUUUUCUAUUGAUAUGGAGAUUGUGGGAAAAGUUACUUCACAUGAUCUCAAGUUGGGAGGUUCCAAUAUCCUGGUGACUGAGGAAAACAAAGAUGAAUAUAUUGGUUUAAUGACAGAAUGGCAUUUUUCUCAAGGAGUACAAGAACAGACCAAAGUUUUCCUCUUUAAUGGCUACGGUGCUUUGACGAAAAAGAAUUGGAGGUUAUGUUGCGUGGCAUGCAGGAGGUUGACUUGGCAGAUUGGCAGAGAAAUACUGUUUAUCAACACUAUACGAGAAACAGCAAGCAAAUCACUUGGUUUUGGCAGUUUGUGAAAGACACAGACAAUGAAGUAAGAAUGCGACUGUUACAGUUUGUCACUGGAACCUGUCCUUUACCUCUAGGAGGAUUUGCUGAGCUCAUGGGAAGUAAUGGGCCUCAAAAGUUUUGCAUUGAAAUAGUUGGCAAAGACACCUGGUUACCAAGAAGCCAUACAUGUUUUAAUCACUUGAAUCUACCACCAUAUAAGAGUUAUGAACAACUAAAGGAAAAACUUCGUUUUGCAAUAGAAGAGACAGAGGGAUUUGGAAAAGACUGGAUAUGUGGCUUCUUGUUUUGGAGGAGCUCUUGCAUUUAAAUACCCCAGCCAAGAAAAAUUGCACAGAUAGUGUAUAUACGCUGUUCGUUCUGUACA